CACCCACUGAGAACUGAAAACAUUUUAGAAAUUAUUCUUUGGGUUUCUGACUUAGAGGGAAUAACCCAAAGCCCUCCUGAGUAUUAUUGUUCCUGUUGGUAUGAGUGGCAACAUCACACAGCAUUACCAUCACUGUGGGAGAAAAUUGAAGUUGCUGGCAUCUGUCUCUUAACACAGCCUUUUAGAAGUGGGUCUAAGAAGUGGCCAUUCGACAGCUAUGGCUUGCAUCACUACUAUGUAUGCUGGGCAAUUACAGACAGUGAGAAAAUUAUCCCGUGUGUGAGUAUACAGACCAUGUCUCAUGCAUCCAAUCUCCAUUAAUGACAACAUUGCUGAGCUUCAGAGCUGGUUCAAGCCCCAGAAAUGUUUCCAGAUUCAUCUCACUGCUAAUUCAUAUUCAGCUUCUUCCCCAACAUAAUUUCUAAGGCAGAAGUUUGAAAGCUGGUACCAAUCCAUGGCCUGUUGAGAACUAGGCCUCACAACAGGAGGUAAGCAGUGGGCAAGCAAGAAAACCUUCCUCUGUAUUUACAGCCACUUUUUAUGGCUCGCAUUGCCACCUGAGCUCUGCCUCCUGUCAGAUCAGUGGUGGCAUUAGAUCUUUAUAGGA
rnacentral:lncRNA from 13 species